rnacentral:rRNA from 1 species
AUUGAACGCUGGCGGCAUGCCUAACACAUGCAAGUCGAGCGGUUGAAGGGAGCUUGCUCCUGGCUUCAGCGGCGGACGGGUGAGUAAUGCCUAGGAAUCUGCCUGGUAGUGGGGGAUAACGUCCGGAAACGGGCGCUUAUACCGCACACGCUCUGAGUGAGAGAGUGGGGGAUCUUCGGACCUCACGCUAUCAGAUGAGCCUAGGUCGGAUUAGCUAGUUGGUGGGGUAAAGGCCUACCAAGGCGACGAUCCGUAACUGGUCUGAGAGGAUGAUCAGUCACACUGGAACUGAGACACGGCCCAGACUCCUACGGGAGGCAGCAGUGGGGAAUAUUGGACAAUGGGCGAAAGCCUGAUCCAGCAAUGCCGCGUGUGUGAAGAAGGUCUUCGGAUUGUAAAGUACUUUAGGUUGGGAGGAAGAGCAGUAAGUUAAUACCUUGCUGUUUUGACGGUACCGUAAGAAUAAGCACCGGCUAACUACGUG